CCUGGGCCGGCGGGUGGCGCUCAAGCUGUUGCCGUUCACGGCGGCGAUGGACCCGAGGCAGGUGCAGCGGUUCCAGGUCGAGGUCCAGGC
rnacentral:tRNA from 1 species